UCUACGGGUGGCUGCAGUGAGGAAUAUUGGUCAAUGGACGAGAGUCUGAACCAGCCAAGUAGCGUGCAGGAUGACUGCCCUACGGGUUGUAAACUUCUUUUACAUGGGAAUAACAUGUUCCACGUGUGGGAUUUUGUAUGUACCAUAUGAAUAAGGACCGGCUAAUUCCGUGCCAGCAGCCGCGGUAAUACGGAGGAUCCGAGCGUUAUCCGGAUUUAUUGGGGUUAAAGGGGGCGGAGGUGGGUUGUUAAGUCAGUUGUGAAAUUGUGCGGCUCAACCGUCAAAUUGCAGUUGAAACUGGCAGUCUGGAGCACAGUAGAGGUGGGCGGAAUUCGUGGUGUAGCGGUGAAAUGCUUAGAUAUCACGAAGAACUCCGAUUGCGAAGGCAGUUCACUGGGGUGCGACUGACACUGAGGCUCGAAAGUGUGGGUAUCAAACAGGAUUAGAUACCCUAGUAGUC
rnacentral:rRNA from 1 species